rnacentral:rRNA from 1 species
UACGUAGGGUGCAAGCGUUGUCCGGAAUUAUUGGGCGUAAAGAGCUCGUAGGCGGUCUGUCACGUCGGCUGUGAAAUCCCGAGGCUCAACCUCGGGUCUGCAGUCGAUACGGGCAAACUAGAGUAUUGCAGGGGAGACUGGAAUUCCUGGUGUAGCGUGAAAUGCGCAGAUAUCAGGAGGAACACCGGUGGCGAAGGCGGGUCUCUGGGCAAUAACUGACGCUGAGGAGCGAAAGCGUGGGGAGCGAACAGG